rnacentral:lncRNA from 10 species
CCUGGAAAACAACAAUCACAGAGAGACAGUCCACCACCUCUACCCUCUUAACUCUUCCUUAGAAAUCCUACUGUCUGCAGCUGGGAAUGAAUGGAAUGAAGGUCAAGGAUGAAGAUCUCACUCUGUUACCCAGGGUGGAGUGCAGGGGCAUGAACACGGAUCACUGCAGCUUCGACUUCCUGGCUCAAGCAAUCCUUCCACUUCCUGGCUCAAGCAAUCCUUCCACCUCAGCCUCCUAGGUACUGGGAUUACACUAACUGCAUCCUGGGCAAUAUCCCCAGCUGAAAGAUUACGCUUCCCAGCCUUCCUUGCAGCUAGACGUAGCCAUAUGACAAAAUGACGCCCAAUGAAGCAUACAUAGAAAAGUCAUGUGAGACUUCUGGAAAAGCUUCUGUAAAAGUGAGGAGCAGACACCCUUUUCUUUUUCUUCUCCUUUCUCUUGCUGUUGGCCUGGAAUGUGGACCUGAUGGAUGGAGCUCUGGCAAUCAUCUUGGAGUAUGAAGUGACCUUAAGGAUGAACAGAAAAGAAAAUGAGCCUGGGCCUUUAAUGACACAGUGGAGCUGCUCCCAGCUUGGCUACCUUCCUCUUAG